rnacentral:rRNA from 1 species
AGAGCGAACGCUGGCGGCAGGCCUAAAACAUGCAAGUCGAACGAACCCUUCGGGGUUAGUGGCGGACGGGUGAGUAACACGUGGGAACGUGCCUUUUGGUUCGGAACAACUCAGGGAAACUUGAGCUAAUACCGAAUGUGCCCUUCGGGGGAAAGAUUUAUCGCCAUUAGAGCGGCCCGCGUCUGAUUAGCUAGUUGGUGAGGUAAAGGCUCACCAAGGCUACGAUCAGUAGCUGGUCUGAGAGGAUGAUCAGCCACACUGGGACUGAGACACGGCCCAGACUCCUACGGGAGGCAGCAGUUAGGAAUCUUGCGCAAUGGGCGAAAGCCUGACGCAGCCAUGCCGCGUGAAUGAUGAAGGUCUUAGGAUUGUAAAAUUCUUUCAGCGGGGACGAUAAUGACGGUACCCGCAGAAGAAGCUCCGGCUAACUUCGCGCCAGCAGCCGC